GCCUGCGUAACUUAGGGGUAGAGCAUUGGUCAUUGGUCUCAUAGAAAGUAUGAAUCUUGAGCUAAAAACUCGACAGACAUCCAAGGACGACAGUUCGAUUCCGCCCGCACGCA